rnacentral:rRNA from 1 species
CCUACGGGAGGCUACAGUGAGGAAUAUUGGUCAAUGGACGAGAGUCUGAACCAGCCAAGUAGCGUGAAGGAUGACUGCCCUAUGGGUUGUAAACUUCUUUUAUAUGGGAAUAAAACAGGGUAUGCAUACCCUCUUGUAUGUACCAUAUGAAUAAGGAUCGGCUAACUCCGUGCCAGCAGCCGCGGUAAUACGGAGGGUGCAAGCGUUGUCCGGAAUCAUUGGGCGUAAAGAGUUCGUAGGCGGCAUGUAAAGUCAGGUGUUAAAGGCGCAGGCUCAACCUGUGUAUGGCACUUGAUACUUGCAAGCUGGAAUGCGGUAGAGGUAAAGGGAAUUCCUGGUGUAGCGGUGAAAUGCUUAGAUAUCAGGAGGAACAUCGGUGGCGUAAGCGCUUUACUGGGCCGUAAUUGACGCUGAGGAACGAAAGCCAGGGUAGCAAAUGGGAUUAGAUACCCCAGUAGUC